AGCUCCAAUAGCGUAUAUUAAAGUUGUUGCGGUUAAAAGCUCGUAGUUGGAUUUCUGCUGAGGUCGACCGGUGUGCAUUUUGUGCAUUAUUUGGUUCGGUCUUGGCAUCCUCUCGGGGAACGUGGUCUUCAUUGCCCACGGGAUUCGAGACUUUUACUUUGAGGAAAUUAGAGUGUUCACGGCAGGCAAGUGCUUUGAAUACAUUAGCAUGGAAUAAUAAUAUAGGACCUUGGUUCUAUUUUGUUGGUUUCUAGAACCUAGGUAAUGAUUAAUAGGGACAAUUGGGGGCAUUCGUAUUAACGCGUCAGAGGUGGAAUUCUUGGAUUGCGUUACGACGAACUACUGCGAAAGCAUUUGCCAAAGAUGUUUUCA
rnacentral:rRNA from 1 species